CUAGUCUUGUUGUUUUCUGCCUCCAGGACGUUCGCUCCGCCAAGCUGCAGGGUGUCGUUCUCAUUUUAUGGAGGGGACUGCUGAGAUCAUAUGCUCUGCAGGAAGCCAGCUGCCAUCUCAUGAGGGGCCCUACGGAGAGACCACAUAGUAUAGAACUGAGCCUACUGCCAACAGCCGGCAUCAAAUUGCUAGUGAUUGAGUGCACCGCCUUGGGAGCAGAUCCUCCAGCCCCCAUCAAGCCUUCAGAGACUGAAUCCCCAGCUAACACCUUGGUGGAAACCUCAUGAGAGAGAUAUGAGCCAGACCAUACAGCUAAGUCACUUCUUAGCUCGCCCCAGCUCGGCCACUAAUUGGCUGUGUGAUCUCAGACAAGCUGAGCUCCCUCUCUGAGACACAGCUGCCUCAUUUGCAAAGUAAGAAGGUGAAAUUGCACGAUCAGCUGAAGACUCUUCCUGCCUCGGUCCGGUAAGUGUGAUCAAAAUGUUAAAUUAACGGUCACACAAUCGGUCGUCGGAGGCUCACCUUUCAAAAAGAAAAAGGCCAACUGGAAAAUGACAUAAUUAAAAGAAGGAAAGAAAACUCUCUCUCCAGAGGCUGCGAUUUCACAGAAAGCCGGCGUGCCUGUGAUAUUCCACACAGCGUAUUAUGAUGACAGGGAGACACGGAGGAUGUGCUGAAAGACACGCAGCAAGUGGAGACCACCUGAAUACCUGGCCCUGAAUGGCCAUUGACCAAGAGGCAGGAGUCUGUGACAGGAGCGAUAAAGUAGGACUUGUCACAACUGUGGAAAGUAGAUCUGCGAGCUGCCUAACCAGCACCAGUGCAAACUCUGACCCUUGCUCUGGCCGUGACCUGGAUAGGUGGAUGGAUCCAGAUCUACCAAUGGCCAUGAAACAAAGGAAGAAACGCCCACAUGUUAUGGGAGGCCAGCACUGACAGCCAGAGAAUGGCUGGACUCAAUGAGGGACAUAUUGGGAACCUGGAUGGGAAGAGUCAAUCAAAAGCUUAAAGAUGUCGAUCCUUCCUGAAUUAAUGAGUAAACUCAAGGCAAUCUCAAUAAAAACCUGCAUGAGCAAAAGCAAGGGGAUGUAAAAGGCGACUCCUUGGAACGCUUAAUCACACAGAACGUAAAUCCCUCAGCAGAGAGGCAGCUGCGAGGGAUGGGGCGCGAUCUGCAGGACUGCUCAUUUUCAUCUUCUGGCAAGUAAUGGAAUCAAGAAUGCACGUCUGCUCACCGGGGCUGCUUUACUCCAAAUUGUUAAAAUCUGUUCCCCCUUUUUCUUGGUGUGUUCCUUGCUUGCUUUGAGAAAUGUUCUUGCCUUACUCCAUGUGGUUCUGAUGGGAAUUGCAGUAACCCCCACACCUCCACGUCCACGAUGAACACAUGCUGGCUAUAUAGAGGAAAAACUAAUUAUAUCCCUGCCAUUCUCUAAGCCUCUACCUCUUGCCAAGAUAACCAGUGUUGCCUGCCUGGUGAAUAUUCCUUCCUAAAGCUCUCCUUGUGUGAAAAAGUAUACAAAUGUAUCUACACAAACACAGUUUCUCCUUUACCUAAGAACUGAUUCUGUUGAAGCUGUUUUCAACAUCAUAGAGCCUAAAAGAGCCUCGAGGGAAAUGGCUCAUUGACUUGGUCUUCCAGGGAAGCAUCUCAAAUAUUAGACAUCAGAGCUCCCAGUUCUCAGGCUUUUGAACUCACACUGAGAGAAUUCUUAGGAAUUCUCAGACUGAAUUCCACCACUGCCUUCCUGGGUCUCCAGCUUGCAGAUAGCAGAUCCUGGGACUGUUCAGCCUCCAUAAUUAGAAUGUUCUGGGGGGGCACAAUGAAGACAGAAUUGGGUCUACAGUUGGGAAAUCUGAGUUUGAACCCUUGAUCAGCCAUUUGCUAGUUGUGUGACUGACAAGUCAACCUCUUGAAGGCUCAAUUUCCUUAUAUGUAGAAUGAAAUGAAUAAAACUACUUUUUAGACUUGUGAGGGUCAAGUAAGAAAAGUUAUGUGAAAGUAUAUGACUCAUCCUAGGGGAUUAAUAAAUGUGAGCUAAUUGUCUUUGUUUCUAAGCUCUCCUGAGCCUCUCUCAUUCCCUCUGGCCAUGUGCAAAUACAUGGGGCUCUGCAGACUUGUGGAAUCAUCCCUAAGCAGGAGUCAGGAUGAGUAUGAGAGACCAAUAAAACAGAGCAUCCUACAGAACUCAGUUUAAAAGUAACUUCCUUCAGGAAGUCCUCCUUGACUUCUCACCUCUCAAGCUGAGUUGGUUGGAUUCUCUCUGCUCUCACUUUUCAAUGACUGUCACAAGACUGUGCCUUCCUCUAGGCACAGAUGAUGUCUUGUUCAUUGCUGGAUCCCUUGUAUAGAGCAGAGUCCAUGGGAAGCCUCCAUGGAGCAUGGAGUGGGCCUUUAUUAAGCCUUGAACACUUCACACCUUUACAUGCCCUGUCUCAUUUCGGCCUCACAACUGUAUGAGGCCACCAAUUAUUACUCUCAUUUUAUAGACAAGGAGAAUAAGUCUCACAGAGUUAAGUAACUUACCCAAGAUCACACAUCUGGUAAUUGGCAGAGACAGUUUUUGAACCCAGGCAAUCUAGCUCUAGAGCUCCUGUCUGCUACCACAAUCUUAUACAGCUGAGAAAAUGAAGGACUGAAUAAAUAACAGUAUGAACUAAUGAGCCAUGUGGCCUUGUAGGAACCACUCAGGGCUUAGCGAUAUAAUUAACUUCAUUUUGAACUGGUCAUAGUAAAGUUGUAGCAGCCUGAGAAACUAAAUUCUUGAUACUUUCCUCCUCUCUAAUAAGAAAUUUGAAUAGCCUGAAAUCCCUUACCUGUCUUGAUAAAUA